rnacentral:lncRNA from 1 species
CACCAGUGCAUUUAUUUUUUUACUCCACUUUCACAGAACAGGAAAUGUCAGCAGCACAUAGGUCUGCAGUUCUCAUCGCCGUGCCACACUCCUGGACAAGUCUGCAGUCUCAGCUGCCAUUUUUCUCCAUCAAGACCACCUCCACAAAGGCAGCUGUGUUAAACUUGCCCUCGGGGCGGCAUGUGCUGUGCAUCCACAUAAAUGCAGCAUUGGGUUACCAUGUCCACCUCUGCAGCAAGACACCAUUUAUCUUUGGAGAGGAAGAAACCAUCAUGCCACACCUUACGAAGGUGCCUUUAUUUAUGACAAUGAUGGCAAUUCCAUUGUAGUAAAUGGGUGGCUUUCUGAGCAGUGGCGCUCCUUUCAGAAUAUUAUCCUGCAGCGUUUUCUGCAGCAUGCUGCUAAUAAAUAGAUACACGUUCACAUUUCUGAUAUAAGAUUUGACAUUUAAACGGCUUUCUUUCUUUUUUUAUCUCCAGGAAAAUGUUCACAAAAAUAGAAGUGAUCGCUUUGAUGAUACAGUAUAUGUAAAUAGAAAGGGUCAAAGGGGCACGUACUGACUAAGAAAUAUAAGGGGUGGUUAAACACAUGAAGAAACUAGCCCUCAUGCUGUUCAAUUUAAGCACAUCUGUCAUGAUAUUUUCUGGUGAAAUCACUGAAACAGAAUAAAAUAAAGGGAAACUAAAGAGAAUAUGUGCAACUUUUUAUCCUACCUCAUGACAUUAUUUUUAAAAAAGCAGAGCUUAUUGGAACAUAGUGACAAAGAGGAUAACAUUGCCCUUGUUGCAAUGUCCUCACUGUGGCAUUUUGAAACUGGGCUUACUCCAGCUUCAAUUUAAAAAAUCACAUCAUGUUAGACAGUGACUCUGCUCUCACACAUUUUCUCUUACCUUUGUAUGGCUGAAUGUAUAUUUUUCAUCUUUCUUUUGUCGAUUGUGUAGCCUUAGCCCAUCACUGUUUAUGUGCAUAUAGCAAAUGUUCUAUAAGCAAUUCUGAUUUGAUCACCAUGGAAGUGCACCAGAUUGUAGCGUGAUACACUGUCCCUGUUUACUUUCUUUCUCUGUAAACUCCCAACACUAAAUAAAACUGAGAUGCCUCCCAACUGUUCUUCUCUUUUAAUAGGAAAGUGCCCAUUUCAUUGAGCAGGCCUCUUCCAUCUUUAGAGCCCUGUCCAGAUUGGUGGCUUCUUUUAGUGAUAAGCAGCAGCAACCAGCAUUAAGAAAGAGUCUGGAAGAAACUCACUGUCCCAGAAACAUCAGCACCACCCAGGAAAAAUGGGAGCACUGCAAGGUAGUUUGCUCAUAGGUGCACACAGUUAGAUUCUAUGUAGAGUGCAUAGCUCAGCAUCCUUUAUACCUUUGGCAAGUCAUUGACAGUUGACAGCUGCUAAAUCUACAUGUUGAAAAAUUCAUUUUACAGUUGUUAGGCCAUGUCUUUAAUUUAGAUUAGAUAAAUUGAUUUAUGGCUUUGAAUUACCAGAAACUUAAUUUAUUAUUGAGUAAAUAUGUUUGGCUGUUAUAGAAAAUUAGUGUUUUGCUUAAUUGACAUUGAUUUACAAUAACUCUGAGAAAUAAUCCUUUCUGACUGGUCAGAAUUUCUGAAUUGCCUCACUGGAGUCCAUAUUUAUGCGACUGUGGUGUCUUUUACUUGGAACCGAAUGCAUUUUUCACAAGCCUUACAAAGAUACCAAUGGAAGAAAAGGUUUUUAUUUAAAGAAUUUAGGUAAUGGUAAUGACUGAUGUGGGGCCUAACAACCCUCCUACACAUGAAAGGCUAUUGGUCAUAGGAGUUAUGGAGUCACAUAGUUACAAUUUUGCAAAAUGUACAACCACAGCAAAAAGACAGUACAUCCUCUUUAAUUUGGUCAUUGCUGCUGUCUUUCCUCCUUGGCCUUGUGUUACACACACCCAAAUGGUCACAUUUGCUGAUGAUCAAUUAAUUACGUCUAUUUGAUUAGCAGGUCCUGGCUGCUACCUACCCUCCUAAUUCAAAUGGAAGCAGUAAAGGUGUACUUGGUUUUUCACACACUCCUUCUAUAUUUUAAAUAAAUGACACAUUGUAAUAUGCCAUAUGUUGGUGUUCAUCUCAGGUUGUAUUCAGGUGAUUUUAAGACCUGCUCAGGCUUGCUUGCUUGUUAUGUCCUGGUAUGUAAAACCUUAGAAUUGACAGAAGGUGUGUUUUCUUUUUACCAUGACUGCAUGUGUGCUGGUGUUUGUAGGUGUUUAACUUGGCAGUUUACCACAUGCUGCGUGAGGCUCUGGGGAGAAAGCUGAAAGCAGAUGAGCAGUUUGCUGUACAAGCUCUCACUGCUGACCCUUCACUGUUCCCUGAAGAAUACCCCGCUAUAUGUAGGUGCCACUUAUUUGUUUGCAGAUAUUGUAUGCUAUCAUGUUAUAUACAUAACAUUAGAAGCACAUAGAUUGUACAUGUAAUUGUAAAAGACCACUUCUGUCAGUUGUGCAGCUUAUAAAAGUCUUUAUACCUGCGAAACUCAGUAGCUUUAAACACUGUAAGGCACUGACUCAUCCUAAGUAAUUGUUCACAUUAGAAAUAUCAUAAGAUUGCAACUACACAUUAAAUCAAAAGAAUAUUAAAUGAAUGUGUCUUUGAUUACAUGCAGUGUCGCUCUUUUCAUUAAUUUAUAUUCACCCACAAUUUGCUGUUUUAUGCCCUCAUUCUGCUUGUUAAGUAAAUGCAGAUUUGGAGCCCCCAGAAAUGUGGAGCGACAGGGAGCCAACAGACAGAGAGGUCAAGGCAGUGACCAUUCUGCAGGCUGGAUUCAGAGGGCACUUGGUGCGCGAGAUCCUUGAUGCCUCAAAACCUGGUAAACAACUGAAUGUACACGCGCACACACAGAGAAUAUAAUAUUUCAAGGAAAGUGGUGUGAUUCAAAGCUCAUCUUUCAAAUCAAUGAUAAAAAAAUACUGGCUUUUGAGUAGACAGCGGCUAUCUUCUGUGCUCUGUGAAGGAGAAGAGAGACAUAGCAACUACAGCAAUUUAAGAAUGCGUAGAAAAUGUGCAAAAAAACCCCACAAAAACACAGAAUGGCCUGUUUUUCAUUCUUAGAUUGUCAUUUAUUAUCCAAAAAACCCCUCACACACAAAACACCUGUUAGUUCUGCAUUCACUGUAUAAUUUAGCCUGCUGGCGUACAUCGAGCUCCUGAGCAGCAACGCAAAUAUGUAUUGAUGAGACUGCCACUCUUACUAAUAAAUCCUGACGGAUGGAGGCUAACUACAUCGGGGAUACACAGACGUAGAGGAAACAUGCGCAUCAUAUACAUGUGCAAACAGCGUUCUUGCAUCACUGACUGAUCUUCAUUAGUGACAUCAACAGAAAGAUAGGGAAGAGAAGACGGGGAAGCAGUGGACACUUUCUAGGAAAAAUGAGAGAUUACAUAGAGACAGUGUUGUGCAGCUAUUCCAGUCUGGCUUUGGAAUAAUAUGCUGUUUUAGUAUCAGCGUUGCUUUUGAACAGUUUUCUGGUAAAUUAGAAAUUUCCCUCAUUUUUAGUGAAAAUAUUUGGAUGUGUUUUUAGAGGUAAUGUAACAGUAAUCGUCUUAAUGUGAAGGUCCAUCACUGU